CCUACGGGGUGCUGCAGUGGGGAAUAUUGGACAAUGGGCGAAAGCCUGAUCCAGCCAUGCCGCGUGCGUGAAGAAGGCCUUCGGGUUGUAAAGCACUUUCAGUGGGGAAGAAAGCCUUGGGGCUAAUACCCUCGAGGAAGGACAUCACCCACAGAAGAAGCACCGGCUAACUCCGUGCCAGCAGCCGCGGUAAUACGGAGGGUGCGAGCGUUAAUCGGAAUUACUGGGCGUAAAGCGCGCGUAGGCGGUCUGAUAAGCCGGUUGUGAAAGCCCCGGGCUCAACCUGGGAACGGCAUCCGGAACUGUCAGGCUAGAGUGCAGGAGAGGAAGGUAGAAUUCCCGGUGUAGCGGUGAAAUGCGUAGAGAUCGGGAGGAAUACCAGUGGCGAAGGCGGCCUUCUGGACUGACACUGACGCUGAGGUGCGAAAGCGUGGGUAGCAAACAGGAUUAGAUACCCGUGUAGUC
rnacentral:rRNA from 1 species